rnacentral:lncRNA from 1 species
GUAAGGUUGAUUAUCAGAGCUAUGCAGAUGACACACAACUAUAUCUAUCACUGAACCCAGAUGACCAUGGUCCCAUUGAGGUGUUGUGUGACUGUUUAGAAAAAGUAAACUGCUGGAUGAGUGAAAACUUCCUUCAACUAAACCAUGACAAGACGGAGGUGAUUGUCUUUGGUAACAAGGAAAAGAGGACUGCUGUCAGCAAUUAUCUUGAGUCUCGAUCUUUAAAACCUAAAGACCAAGUCAAAAACCUUGGUGUUCUGAUUGACUCAGAUCUUACAUUCAGCAGUCAGAUCAAAUCUAUCACAAAAACAGCCUUCUACCACCUAAAGAACAUCUCCAGAGUGAAAGGUUUAAUGACUCAGAAAGAUCAGGAGAAACUGGUCCAUGCUUUUAUCUCAAGCAGACUGGACUAUUGUAAUGGUCUUCUGACAGGAAUCCCCCAAAAGAGCAUCAAACAGCUACAGCUGGUUCAGAACGCUGCAGCUCGGGUCUUAACCAGAACAAAGAGGUCAGAGCACAUUACUCCAGUUUUAAAGUCUUUACACUGGCUCCCAGUCAGCCUCAGAAUAGACUUUAAAGUUCUGCUGCUGGUGUAUAAAUCUGUGAAUGGGUUUGGUCCAGAAUACAUCAGUGACAUGUUAGUCAGGUAUGAACCCAGCAGGUCUCUCAGAUCUAUGGACACAGGUCAGAUAGUGGAGCCCAGAGUUCACAGUAAACAUGGUGAUGCUGCUUUUAGUUGUUAUGCUGCAAAGAAGUGGAACAAACUGCCAGCGGAGCUGAAGUCAGCAUCCAAUGUGAACAUUUUUAAAUCAAAGUUAAAGGCACUUUUUUUCUCUACUGCAUAUGAUUGAGAGAGAGAUUUUUUGUCAUGUUGUUGAUGUAAUGAUGAUUUUACUGAUGAUUUUAAUUGAUUUUACUGAUGAUUUUAAUUGUUCUUAUUGAUUUAAAUGUUCUUAUUGAUUUUAAACAAUUGAAUGUUUUAUCAUGUAAAGCACAUUGAGUUGCCUUGAGUAUGAAAUGCGCUAUAUAAAUAAAUUUGCCUUGCCUUGCCUUGCCUUUUUAGAGUUCUGUGCCAUGUCUAUGUCAUGUC